rnacentral:lncRNA from 1 species
GGACACAGAGACAUACAUAGAGGGAAGACGAUAUGAAGAGAUGGAGAAGAUGCCGCUCUACAAGGCAAGGAGGGAGGGCUGGAGCAGUCUCUCUCUCUCGCAGCCCUCAGAAGGAACUAACCCUGCUGACAUCUUGGUUUCAGACUCCUAGUCUCCAGAACUGGUCUAGGGAGUGGAGAAAGAAACAGACAAGUAACAGCGCAGAAGAACGGCUAGGAUGGGCAAUACCACAAACCUCAUCUUUGGAAAAUACAAUCUGCCACCUUCUCAAGUCCCCUUUUCCUUGACGACUAUGAGGCUCCUCCACUUCUUCUUCCAGUCUCUUCUC